UACGUAGGGUGCAAGCGUUGUCCGGAAUUUAUUGGGCGUAAAGAGCUCGUAGGCGGUCUGUCGCGUCUGGUGUGAAAAUCCAGGGCUUAACCCUGGACCUGCAUCGGGUACGGGCAGACUAGAGUGAUGUAGGGGAGACUGGAAUUCCUGGUGUAGCGGUGAAAUGCGCAGAUAUCAGGAGGAACACCGAUGGCGAAGGCAGGUCUCUGGGCAUUAACUGACGCUGAGGAGCGAAAGCAUGGGGGAGC
rnacentral:rRNA from 1 species